rnacentral:rRNA from 1 species
GAUGAACGCUGGCGGCGUGCCUAAUACAUGCAAGUCGAGCGAACAGACGAGGAGCUUGCUCCUCUGACGUUAGCGGCGGACGGGUGAGUAACACGUGGAUAACCUACCUAUAAGACUGGGAUAACUUCGGGAAACCGGAGCUAAUAACGGAUAAUAUAUUGAACCGCAUGGUUCAAUAGUGAAAGACGGUUUUGCUGUCACUUAGAGAUGGAGCCGGGCCGCAUUAGCUAGUUGGUAAGGGAACGGCUUACCAAGGCGACGAUGCGUAGCCGGCCUGAGAGGAUGAUCGGCCACACUGGAACUGAGACACGGUCCAGACUCCUACGGGAGGCAGCAGUAGGGAAUCUUGCGCAAUGGGCGCAAGCCUGACGCAGCCACGCCGCGUGAGUGAUGAAGGUCUUCGGAUCGUAAAGCUCUGUUAUUAGGGAAGAACAACUGCGUAAGUAACUAUGGACGUCUUGACGGUACCCAAUCAGAAAGCCACGGCUAACUACGUG